rnacentral:pre_miRNA from 1 species
CUAGUACUCCUUCUGUCCCAAAAUUCUUGUCUUAGAUUUGUCUAAAUACGGAUGUAUCAAGUCACGUUUUAGUAUUAGAUACAUCCGUAUCUAACAAAUCUAAGACAAGAAUUUUGGGACGGAGGGAGUAGUUU